UACGUAGGCAGCAAGCGUUGUUCGGAGUUACUGGGCGUAAAGGGUGCGUAGGUGGCUCUAUAAGUAUGGUGUGAAAUCUCCCGCUUAACUGGGAGGGUGCGCCGUAGACUGUGGGGCUAGAGUGUGGGAGAGGAAAGUGGAAUUUCCGGUGUAGCGGUGAAAUGCGUAGAUAUCGGGGAGGAACACCUGUGGCGAAAAGCGGCUCACUGGACCACAACUGACGCUGAGGCGCGAAAAGCCAGGGGGAGCGAACGGG
rnacentral:rRNA from 1 species